CGCCCACUAGACUGGGUGACACACUGUGUGUCGCCCAACCCAAUUUGACACGAAAUCUUCAUUUUUUGGCAGAACAACCCAAAGAUCAGUGUUGAGCUGGAAUCUGCCAUUUUAGGCAGAUCUAGUCUGGGCAACACACUUGUGUAGCCCAGCCUAGACACACCCAAAUUGGAUGAUUUUUGGCAGGCAACAUCUUGACAACCCCAGCAUCCGCCCUGUACUGGAAAUUUUCUGUUUCGAGCAAUCUUGACUUGGGCGACACACAGUGUGUCGCCCAACUCUGACAGUGCAGAAACGACAGUUUUCGCAUGCCAGAGGCCCCCCCUACUGUUUUAGGUCAAAUUUCCCAAAUUUGACCAAUUUUGGUUGGGUGACACCUAGGGUUACCCAAGCCCAGGACCUAGAAAGGUAGUCCAGGGUUGGCAAUUGGUUGUUGAUGGAAAAUUUUCCCUUUGAUUUGAUUCCCAAUCUAUAAAAAUGAAAAUUCUUGGCUAUUUGUGGGGGCUUCUUCUAAGGGGAGAGAAAAGAGUUAGCUUAGAAAAACCCUAACUUUGAACCCUAAGUCUGAAAACCCUAAACCAUUAAAGCUCUAACCUAGGAACCCUAGUUCUUCAAUCAUCUCUAGGGCACAACAACCCUUUUAAAUCAGAGAUCUUUUGGUCAACUUUUGAAUCAGAGAGGCAAAGAGGACGCCGGUUCUGAUACGGGAGAGCCCUCGAAGGCUCGGAAGUCCCAGGCCAUCCGGCACGAUUUGGUAUUGUUAUAUUAACCUGUCUUUCUUCUUCUCACUAUUUUGAUUUCAUUUUGAUUAAUUUUGGUUAGUUUGCUGCUUUGAACUCGUGUUUUAAUGUUUUGGAUCAUGCUGGCUCUGCUACAAAUCUGAGAGUGGAUCUGCUCGUUUCUGAACAAAUCUGGCAUUAGAUCUGAAUUCUAUUUGUCCCACUUUCUCUAUCACAUUAUUUUUAUCAGUUUAAGGUGUCAAAAUCCACAAGAUCUUCGUCAGAAGAUCUGUUUGAUUUUCAUUGUAAACAAUUUGGCGCCCAUCGUGGAGCGUUUCGAGCUUGAUUCGAGCUCUGAAACAUGAGUUUUAUUCAUUGUUUUUACUGCUUUCAGUAAAAAAAAAAGUCCCAAAUUUGGCUGUGACUAGGACCCAGGGUUUUUGCAGCUGCGAAACCCUGUCUGUCUUGGGUGACACUACCUGGGUCGCCCAGGUUUAGGCGACACACCAGUCUCCCAAGCGACACACACUGUGCCGCCCAGAUUCAAAGGUCCUAGAAAAUUUUUGAGACCCCACAAACCUAUUCCAAGGACAUUUUUGUCACUGAUCAAAAAAUUUUAGAAAAAAAUAAAAUUUUUAAAAAUACAAAAAAUAUUUUCUUAAUAUAGGUCUAUUUUAUUUGCACUUUUCUAUUUUUACUUUAUUUUAAUUUUUUCAUCAGAAAUAUUAUUUUCCCUGCUUCUGGAAGUUCAUUGUAACCUUAUCUCAUCAAAGUUAAAAAUAAUAAGAAUAAUAAAUUUUUUGGGCAAUAUUAGCAGUGUCGUCCAGCUUGUAAGGGCGACACCAGUAGUGCCGCCCAGAUGACACCACAUGUGUUGCCUAGUUGCAGUGCUAUCAAAAAUUUCUUGGGACCCCACAGGCCUCUUCCAGAGGUUGUUGGCUUUCUAUUCACCAAUAUUUGGCUUAAAAUAAUUUUUUUUAAAAAAAAAUAAAAACUUUUUUUGCUUCAAAUAGGUAUUUUAUGUUCCUAGAUUUUUUAUUUUAUUUUAAUGUGCUAAUUUUGAUUUAGAUCAUGUUUUCCCUGCUUUCACCAUGCUUAGUUUAACUGAAUUUCAUCAAAGUUAAAAAAAAAAUUUCAAAUAAAAAUAGAUAUAUAUAUAUAUAGAUUGAGGGUUGCUUGCACCCUCCUUAAACCGUGUCCCAUUCAAGUCACCCUCGACUCGGGCCACGCUCGGCUUAGCAUGGACUGUGCUUGGUCUCACUAUUUUGAUUGUACCUUCUUAGGGGUUGCUUACCCC
rnacentral:lncRNA from 1 species